rnacentral:rRNA from 1 species
UAAGACCUGCGCUUUUGGAGCGGCCGAUGUCUGAUUAGCUUGUUGGUGAGGUAAAGGCUUACCAAGGCUUCGAUCAGUAGCUGGUCUGAGAGGACGGCCAGCCACACUGGGACUGAGACACGGCCCAGACUCCUACGGGAGGCAGCAGUGGGGAAUUUUGGACAAUGGGGGCAACCCUGAUCCAGCCAUGCCGCGUGAGUGAAGAAGGCCUUCGGGUUGUAAAGCUCUUUCAGCCGGAACGAAACGGUUACGGUUAAUACCCGUGACUACUGACGGUACCGGAAGAAGAAGCACCGGCUAACUACGUGCCAGCAGCCGCGGUAAUACGUAGGGUGCAAGCGUUAAUCGGAAUUACUGGGCGUAAAGCGUGCGCAGGUGGUUUUGUAAGUCAGAUGUGAAAUCCCCGGGCUUAACCUGGGAACU